AACAGGAUUAGAUACCCUGGUAGUCCACGCCCUAAACGAUGUCAACUGGUUGUCGGGUCUUCAUUGACUUGGUAACGUAGCUAACGCGUGAAGUUGACCGCCUGGGGAGUACGGUCGCAAGAUUAAAACUCAAAGGAAUUGACGGGGACCCGCACAAGCGGUGGAUGAUGUGGAUUAAUUCGAUGCAACGCGAAAAACCUUACCUACCCUUGACAUGUACGGAAUUCCGCUGAGAGGUGGAAGUGCCCGAAAGGGAGCCGUAACACAGGUGCUACAUGGCUGUCGUCAGCUCGUGUCGUGAGAUGCUGGGUUAAGUCCCGCAACGAGCGCAACCCUUGUCCCUAGUUGCUACGCAAGAGCACUCCAGGGAGACUGCCGGUGACAAACCGGAGGAAGGUGGGGAUGACGUCAAGUCCUCAUGGCCCUUAUGGGUAGGGCUUCACACGUCAUACAAUGGUCGGAACAGAGGGUUGCCGAGCCGCGAGGUGGAGCCAAUCCCAGAAAACCGAUCGUAGUCCGGAUCGCAGUCUGCAACUCGACUGCGUGAAGCUGGAAUCGCUAGUAAUCGCGGAUCAGCAUGCCGCGGUGAAUACGUUCCCGGGUCUUGUACACACCGCCCGUCACACCAUGGGAGUGGGUUUUGCCAGAAGUGGCUAGUCUGACCGCAAGGAGGACGGUCACCACGGCAGGAUUCAUGACUGGGGUGAAGUCGUAACAAGGUAACC
rnacentral:rRNA from 1 species